rnacentral:lncRNA from 1 species
UGACUGUCUCUCGGUUUCUCUGACUGUCUCCCGGUUUCUCUGACUGUCUCCCGGUUUCUCUGACUGUCUCCCAGUUUCUCUGACUGUCUCCCGGUUUCUCUGACUGUCUCCCAGUUUGUCUGGCUGUAUCUCGGUUUCUCUGACUGUCAACCUGUUUGUCUGACUCAGAAAGAGAUAGAGGGAGAGAAAGGUAGACAUAGAAGGAGGGGACAAGCCAGAGGUGGAAGAGGACAGAGAGAAUAGAGGGAGGGAAGAGCAGAGGGAUAGAGGAACAGAGUGUAUGCCAGGGUAAGAUUAUUGUCCUUAUCAGCAUGCUCCAGAACCUGUGUGUGUGUGUCCCUAAUGGGGCAGUGUGAGGGGAAAUGAGGCCUGGCCUGAUGGAGGCUGAUUACCCAUCGACUCUACACACAUCAAAGAAAGAGAGGGAAGGAGGGAGAGGAGGAGGAGGGGAAGAAGAGAGGGGAGAGAUGAAGGUUAAAGUUACCAUCACCUCCUCUCUCCCUGGGACCCCAGACACUGCCACACACAGCCACCAUUUUAUUCAACCUUGACAGAUUGGGCUUUCAGGGAGAAAAGUGGAUGAGGAGAGAGGAGAGGAAGGGUGGGUGAUGAACGGACAGAGAGAUGGAGGAAGAAGGGGGAGGAGGAAGGGUGAAGGGACAGAGAUGCCACAGACCUUCAUUCUCCAUAUUAGAGGAAUAAUUCAAUGAAACUUCUGUUAACGAUGUCUGAGGGAAGUCCUGUUACUUAUGACUGGAGGAAUUAUACCAGCCACACACACAUGUGUCUGCCAGGUGUCUUGUCCUUUCUGACCCUGCUGAGGGUAGAGAGAGAGACUGGUGACAGAGGAUGGUUGCAUGGUGUCCUUGUUUGAAAUUGAAAAUGUGAGAUAGUCUAUUUCCCUACAUUACCCUCCUCUCACCCCUGGUACUCCCACCUUCAAGCCCAUCCCAUCCCCCCUCCUUCAUUUUCAAAAACCAUAUUAAAAUUCAGAGGGUCAAUACCUCCAAACCCCCACACCUAAACACCCCCAUGUCCCCCUUGUUUUAUUCAAAAUCAUUCAGAGGGUUGUUUUCCUUCCCUCACAGACAUCCCCACUCCCACAUCUCCUAUCUUCCCUUUUUAUACAAGUCAGAGUAUGUUUCCCUUUUGCAGCCCCCGAACCCCAAACCUUCUCCCGUCUGUCCCAUUUAUCAGAAAGAACCUCAAUACCCCUCUACCAUUUUCUCUCUCUCUCUCCAUCUCUCUCAGUUCAUUACCAUAUAUAGUAUACAAGAUGGCGCUGAAGGUAAUCUCCACUCGCUGGAUGACAAAAUGGAGGUCUGCACAUUGUCAUCAUCAGCGAAGCCUCACUGAUGUGUGUCACGUCUUGGCUUGACAGCCACGCAAGCGAUGAAAGACACACACAUACACUCACCACACACAGGCGGCAGCAUUAUACUGACCACGAAAUGCAGCAUCUGUAAUCAGGUCUGACAUAUUGAGGCAAAACGCUCCCAUCUCAUCUGACAGCCACACACGCACAGAGAGAACAGCAUAACAAUUCAGAUGGAAAUAGACAUUGUCAGUUUUCUGAAUGUAUUCUAAGGAUGUAUCGUGGUCCCUAAUGUAUAUGCCAUUUGUUAGUGUUGCUGUUUGAAUACAUUAGCGUGGUUUUAGAUGUGGGUUUGUAGGGGGAGGCGCAGGGAAGAGACUGGUGUGUUUAUCACGGCAUAUCACACAUGAUUCAGAUACGACUACAACCUCUCUCUGUGUGUCUUCAGGCUGAAGACAGAAGUGUGUAGAAUCAACAUCUUCUAACUUUAAGCCUCAUUGGGUCGACUGGUAGUGUAUGCCACUAGUAUGUCAUUACCAGAAUACAACAGAACACGUCAUCCUCUUUCUAAGAAAGUCGUGUUCCUUUCCUUCGUUUUGUUCAUUCACUCGUCCUGGGUGAGUAUCAUGUUCAGUACGACAGUUAUCUUCUUCAUGUUCAGUCGUAAGUCACAGCAAACAAAACGUUGUUAAGCUCCUCCAGCAGUAGUUAACACCACAACACAACAACAAUGAGAACUGGAAUAAAGAUCAACCGUAUCAAAUGUGGAGAGGGUGAAAUCCACCCAAACUGUCACGGAACGUUGUCAUGUAGUGUUAUUCAUUUACAAAUGCAAUUAUUGUUCUUCACUUUGCUGGCUUGUUAAGUGACAAGCAAGGAGAUCCUCCAUGACGGUGUGGAAGAAUUCAAACUAAACUGGAUCUGAGAGAGUGUGUUCCCAUACAGACUGGACCAGACUGGGGAUGACACAUCUCACACCUACUAAUGAAGCAUCUCUGCUUAUUGUCUCUCUGAUGUCUGCGGAGGGAGAGAGGCAUUCUCAGGGGAUGGAAGUCUAAGCUCUGAGUUUGUCACUAGUAGUGGCCCUGUCAAGGUUCUGUGAAUCACAAACCCUUUGGUGUUAAUAGGCAGAUUAAGAAAAUAAACUAAGCAGGUCUUUAUUAGGCUUCUACCUUUCCCAUGUAUUUAUUUAUCUAUUUUAUUUAUUUAUCUAGCUACCUCUGUUUUGCCACAUUGUCUUGCAAAAUGUUUUUUUUUUGCUCCCUCUCUCUCCCCCUCUCUUUCUCUCUCUUUGUCUCAUUUUCAAAAGGCACUUUAUUUACCGACCCAGGGGAAUGCUACAUUAUGCAUUAACCUGUGCCAUUAUACAUUCAUUUAUGUGUGCUUCUGCUUUUAUGCAAAUGCACUUUAUGAUUAAACAAAUUGUUUUGCUGUUUGGCUGUGUUUGUUGAGUGUUGGCUGGUGACAUUCAUGUAUGGUGCGUGCUUGUGCGCACGUGUGUGUGUGUGCGUGUGUGUGUGUGCGUGUGUGUGUGUGCGUGUGUGUGUGUGUGCGUGCCCGCCCGCGCAUUUGAUAUACUGUAUUAUGCUUAGUGUACUUUUAUAUUAUUCAUUUAUUUGAAAUAAGUACCAAAACAUUCCAAAUGACAUGUAGGCUCCUAUUAAGGGCAGAGCUGUCAGAACUAAUUAUCAGAACCACAAUCAGGUCAUGUGCUUAAAAGUAGCAUCUCUCAAUCUUCCUGUCUCUCUCUGUUCCUCUCUCUUCCCCUAUUCCCCUCCUGCCCCUCUUUCCCUCUGUAUUUCCCCCAUGCAGCAGUUAGAGAUGGUUGUGUAGUGGAGCCUGUUAGUGGGCUCUGUGAGUGUCCAGGAAACCAGCCUUUCACUCUUUGGUUUAUGCUACCUCCUACCAAGGGAGGAGGGCCUCUUGUAAUGUGUGUGUGUGUGUGUGUGUGUGUGUCUGUGUGUGCGUGUGCGUGUGUGUGCGUGUGUGUGUGUGUGAGAGAGACAGAAUGUGUGAGAUUAAAACUGGUCCCCUGUAAGGAUAAAUUUAAUUAAGUAGCUUUAUGAAAUAGUAAUUGUAAUCAUGGCAACACAUGCAUGUUAUAUUGCAUUUUUAAUAAAGGACAUGAGGACAUGAACACUCCAGAAUAUUUCCUGCUAAUUCUGGGAUGUUGCAUUUGCCUAAGACAUGCUUG